GGGGAGAGCUUGAUUUUCUGGCCUCAUUACCUAUUUGUAAAGCUGUAGCCUACAGGGCUCUCCUAAUGCGGCCUGGUCUGAAACUGCUUUAAGAAGCCUCUGACCCUCUUCAGGGUAAGUGCUCUGCUCCCCAUGUGGGUUUGGGGCCAGUCAUUUUUGUUGACAUUUUCUAAAAAAUAAAAAAAAUAAAAUUAAAAAAUGGAGAUAUUUUCUGGUUUGCUGCAAUUCUGUAAGUUACAAGCUAACUCAGGCCCUUAAACAAAGUGGUCUAUUUCAGUCCUGUUUUAUAUAUUCAGGACAUCUUGAGGCUCAGCAAGAUGGUGAGCCUUGUCAUAUGACACUCUUGUCCUAUGCAGCAUUCAUAUUAUGGACUGACUGAAUUCCCUUAAGUUCUUUUUGAGAUUGUUUUCUUUUGUGGCCCAAGAUCAAGUAUAGAAUAAAAAUGCAGAGAUUUCUGAGUGCCUGGUAGGUGUUAGAGUGGGACCAGCAGAUCAGUGUGGAACUUCCAUUUUAAAAACAAAACUGAUUUUCUGGUUUAAAAAAUGUUGAAAAAUGUUUUUUAAAUAAAGUUAAUGAGAAAAAAGCUUGACUGCUUAUUAGUGUCCAUUAUGAAAAGCCACUAUAGGCUUAUUUAACAAGCCAGUAUGCGC
rnacentral:lncRNA from 1 species